rnacentral:piRNA from 1 species
UCCUGGGAUCAUAUAAAAAAA